rnacentral:sRNA from 1 species
UCGGGCCGACCUCACCUACGCGGAGUUCGUGCAGCAGUACGCCUUCGUCAAGCCCGUCAUCCUGCAGGGACUCACGGACAACUCGGUGAGCGCGUGCCCGUCCGUCCCCGGCCACUCUCGCCCGUGCUGGGCCCGGCCACUAAGCCCCCUCUCCGCCCCCGCAGAGGUUCCGGGCCCUGUGCUCCCGCGAAAGGUUGCUGGCUUCGUUUGGGGACAGAGUGGUCCGGCUGAGCACCGCCAACACCUACUCCUACCACAAAGUGGACUUGCCCUUCCAGGAGUACGUGGAGCAGCUGCUGCACCCCCAGGACCCCACCUCCCUGGGCAAUGACACCCUGUACUUCUUCGGGGACAACAACUUCACCGAGUGGGCCUCUCUUUUUCGGCACUACUCCCCACCCCCAUUUGGCCUGCUGGGAACCGCUCCAGCUUACAGCUUUGGAAUCGCAGGAGCUGGCUCGGGGGUGCCCUUCCAUUGGCAUGGGCCCGGGUACUCAGAGGUGAUCUACGGUCGUAAGGUCAGCACGGGGUGGGGGUUGAGGCUUGGGGCUCGCUGACCAAAAUGGGCAAGGGUGACAGUGCUGCUUGUGCCCCCAGCGCUGGUUCCUUUACCCACCUGAGAAGACGCCAGAGUUCCACCCCAACAAGACCACGCUGGCCUGGCUCCGGGACACAUACCCAGCCCUGCCACCGUCUGCACGGCCCCUGGAGUGUACCAUCCGGGCUGGUGAGGUCAGUGGCUGGCAGGAGGGCCAAGCCAGGCCAGAGGCCCAGAGCUAAUCUCUGCUGCACUCCCUUCCUCCACCAGGUGCUGUACUUCCCCGACCGCUGGUGGCAUGCUACGCUCAACCUUGACACCAGCGUCUUCAUCUCCACCUUCCUCGGCUAGCCAAAACAGCUGGCAGGCCUGCCUGUCACACACCGGCACGUCCCACCUCGUGCUCACGGAUUUUAUUACACAGAUAGUGGCAGCAGUGGCCUCAGCCCAGCCCACCCUCACCUGCUUUUCCAGCCCACAAAGGGGG